rnacentral:ncRNA from 2 species
AAACAGUACUCUGGAGAGACCUGGCGCCGGCCCUGAACAAGGGACACAACGAGCAGCCCAGGCGCCGAAGGUGCAAACCCGCCAUGCGCGGGGCAACUCUCAGGCAAAAGGACAGAGGGGCGGAA